rnacentral:rRNA from 1 species
UACGUAGGGCGCAAGCGUUGUCCGGAAUUAUUGGGCGUAAAGAGCUCGUAGGCGGUUUGUCGCGUCUGCUGUGAAAACCUAAGGCUCAACCUUGGGCUUGCAGUGGGUACGGGCAGACUAGAGUGCGGUAGGGGUGACUGGAAUUCCUGGUGUAGCAGUGAAAUGCGUAGAGAUCAUGAGGAAGACCAGUGGCGAAGGCGGGUCUCUGGACAGUUCCUGACACUGAGACACGAAGGCCAGGGGAGCAAACGGG